CCUACGGGUGGCAGCAGUGGGGAAUAUAGCGCAAUGGGCGAAAGCCUGACGCAGCGACGCCGCGUGAGGGAUGAAGGUCUUCGGAUCGUAAACCUCUGUCAGCAGGGAAGAACGGUCACUGUGCUAAUCAGCAGUGAAUUGACGGUACCUGCAAAGGAAGCACCGGCUAACUACGUGCCAGCAGCCGCGGUAAUACGUAGGGGGCAAGCGUUAGCCGGAUUUACUGGGGGUAAAGGGGGCGCAGACGGCGAUGCAAGCCAGGAGUGAAAGCCCGGGGCCCAACCCCGGGACUGCGCUUGGAACUGCGUGGCUGGAGUGCAGGAGGGGCAGGCGGAAUUGCUGGUGUAGCGGUGAAAUGCGUAGAUAUCAGGAGGAACACCGGUGGCGAAGGCGGCCUGCUGGACUGCAACUGACGUUGAGGCCCGAAAGCGUGGGGAGCAAACAGGAUUACAUACCCUGGUAGUC
rnacentral:rRNA from 1 species